rnacentral:rRNA from 1 species
GACGAACGCUGGCGGCGUGCUUAACACAUGCAAGUCGAACGGAAAGGCCCUGCUUUUGUGGGGUGCUCGAGUGGCGAACGGGUGAGUAACACGUGAGUAACCUGCCCUUGACUUUGGGAUAACUUCAGGAAACUGGGGCUAAUACCGGAUAGGAGCUCCUGCUGCAUGGUGGUGGUUGGAAAGUUUCGGCGGUUGGGGAUGGACUCGCGGCUUAUCAGCUUGUUGGUCGGGUAGUUGCUUACCAAGGGUUUGACGGGUAGCCCGCCUGAGAGGGUGACCGGCCACAAUAGGCCUGAGAUACGGACCAGAAUCCUACCGGAGGCAGCAGGGGGGAAUAUUGCACAAUAGGGGGAAGCCUGAUGCAGCAACGCCGCGUGCGGGAUGACGGCCUUCGGGUUGUAAACCGCUUUCGCCUGUGACGAAGCGUGAGUGACGGUAAUGGGUAAAGAAGCACCGGCUAACUACGUG